rnacentral:rRNA from 1 species
GACGAACGCUGGCGGCGUGCCUAAUACAUGCAAGUCGAGCGGACCUCUUCGGAGGUCAGCGGCGGACGGGUGAGUAACACGUGGGCAACCUGCCUGUAAGACUGGGAUAACUCCGGGAAACCGGAGCUAAUACCGGAUACUAUGUCAAACCGCAUGGUUUGACAUUCAAAGACGGUUUCGGCUGUCACUUACAGAUGGGCCCGCGGCGCAUUAGCUAGUUGGUGAGGUAAUGGCUCACCAAGGCGACGAUGCGUAGCCGACCUGAGAGGGGGAUCGGCCACACUGGGACUGAGACACGGCCCAGACUCCUACGGGAGGCAGCAGUAGGGAAUCUUCCGCAAUGGACGAAAGUCUGACGGAGCAACGCCGCGUGAGUGAUGAAGGUUUUCGGAUCGUAAAACUCUGUUGUCAGGGAAGAACAAGUGCCGGAGUAACUGCCGGCACCUUGACGGUACCUGACCAGAAAGCCACGGCUAACUACGUGCCAGCCGCCGCCGUAA